rnacentral:misc_RNA from 1 species
UUGAGUUGUAUGAGGAAGUUCAAACAAGUAGCCUUCUAUUACAAGUAUAUUCGUCUUUGAGAUUAUGUUAGCCAAGCUGAGGUCAUAAUCAACAGUUGAUGAAGUUCCCUGAUACGCAAGCAUAGUACGCUGGGCAUCAGUAGUGGUCAGAACUAUAACUGUUCCAGUGGUGCCAUCUUUAACAGGUUUAGAGAGAAAAUUCACAUUUGCACGGCGUAGUUUGGCCCUGUAGAAACCACCAAGUGGGUCGCUACCCACACUGCCUGCCAUAGCAACAUUUAAAUCAGAACCACCAACAGAUCGGCUACCUAGUCUUGCCAAGGCCACCAAAGUAUUUGAGAGAGACCCUCCAGCUGCAGCCUUAUAGCUGCAACCAUCCAUUGCCCG